AGUGAACGCUGGCGGUAGGCCUAACACAUGCAAGUCGAACGGCAGCACAGUAAGAGCUUGCUCUUACGGGUGGCGAGUGGCGGACGGGUGAGGAAUACAUCGGCAUCUACUUUUUCGUGGGGGAUAACGUAGGGAAACUUACGCUAAUACCGCAUACGACCUACGGGUGAAAGCAGGGGAUCUUCGGACCUUGCGCGAUUGAAUGAGCCGAUGUCGGAUUAGCUAGUUGGCGGGGUAAAGGCCCACCAAGGCGACGAUCCGUAGCUGGUCUGAGAGGAUGAUACGCCACACUGGAACUGAGACACGGUCCAGACUCCUACGGGAGGCAGCAGUGGGGUAUCUUCGCCAAUGGGCGCAAGCCUGAUCCAGCCAUACCGCGUGGGUGAAGAAGGCCUUCGGGUUGUAAAGCCCUUUUGUUGGGGAAGAAAAGCUGCAGGAUAAUAUCCCGCUGUUCUGACGGUACCCAAAGAGUAAGCACCGGCUAACUUCGUG
rnacentral:rRNA from 1 species